GUGCUUGCUUCGGCAGCUCAUGUAUUAAAAUUAUAAUGAUACAGAGACUAUUAGCAUGGCCCCUGAACAAGGAUGAGACUCAGAAAUAAUAAUGAUGAUGAUGAUAA